AUGCAAGACAUGCUCACCUUUAACGACAUCAUUCAUAAACAGCAGCUUAUUGAACUGCCAGUACAUGGCCGUGCUUACACUUGGAGUAACAUGAAAACUGAUCCCCUCCUCGAGCAAAUUGACUAGUUUUUUACAUCGCUUCAUUGGAUCACAGUAUACCCUAAAACCUUGGUGAAACCCCUCGACAAACCUGUAUCCGAUCAUAUACCCUGCGUGGUCAGUAUUGAAACUAAUAUUCCUCAUAGUAAGAUUUUCUGCUUUGAGCCGUAUUGGAUCCUUCACCCAGGGUUUAUGGAUGUUGUGCAAGAGGUGUGGGAAAAGCCUGUUAGGUCAGAGAAUGCUGCGACUAAGCUUUGCCGCAAGUUCAAAGCCCUGAGGCAUGCACUGAAACGCUGGAGUAAGAAUAUUUCCCGCCUCUCUAUUGCUAUUUCUAACUGCAACUAUGUACUUGCUGAUCUUGACUAG
rnacentral:rRNA from 1 species